rnacentral:rRNA from 1 species
UGGGGAAUCUUGCGCAAUGGGCGAAAGCCUGACGCAGCAACGCCGCGUGCGGGAUGAAGGCCUUCGGGUUGUAAACCGCUUUCAGUGGGGACGAACCAAGACGGUACCCACAGAAGAAGCCCCGGCCAACUACGUGCCAGCAGCCGCGGUAACACGUAGGGGGCAAGCGUUGUCCGGAUUCAUUGGGCGUAAAGAGCUCGUAGGCGGUUCGAUAAGUCGGGUGUGAAACCUCCAGGCUCAACCUGGAGACGCCACCCGAUACUGUCGUGACUAGAGUCCAGUAGGGGAGCGUGGAAUUCCUGGUGUAGCGGUGAAAUGCGCAGAUAUCAGGAGGAACACCAGCGGCGAAGGCGGCGCUCUGGGCUGGAACUGACGCUGAGGAGCGAAAGCGUGGGGAGCGAACAGGAUUAGAUACCCAAGUAGUCCCUGAGCGGGCUGGCAAGGCGCAU